rnacentral:rRNA from 1 species
UGGGGAAUUUUGGACAAUGGGCGAAAGCCUGAUCCAGCAAUGCCGCGUGUGUGAAGAAGGCCUUCGGGUUGUAAAGCACUUUUGUCCGGAAAGAAAUCCUUGGCUCUAAUACAGUCGGGGGAUGACGGUACCGGAAGAAUAAGCACCGGCUAACUACGUGCCAGCAGCCGCGGUAAUACGUAGGGUGCAAGCGUUAAUCGGAAUUACUGGGCGUAAAGCGUGCGCAGGCGGUUUGCUAAGACCGAUGUGAAAUCCCCGGGCUCAACCUGGGAACUGCAUUGGGUGACUGGCAGGCUAGAGUAUGGCAGAGGGGGGUAGAAUUCCACGUGUAGCAGUGAAAUGCGUAGAGAUGUGGAGGAAUACCGAUGGCGAAGGCAGCCCCCUGGGCCAAUACUGACGCUCAUGCACGAAAGCGUGGGGAGCAAAACAGGAUUAGAUACCCUGGUAGUCCACGCCCUAAACGAUGUCAACUAGUUGUUGGGGAUUCAUUUCCUUAGUAACGUAGCUAACGCGUGAAGUUGACCGCCUGGGGAGUACGGUCGCAAGAUUAAAACUCAAAGGAAUUGACGGGGUCAUAGCUGUUUCCU